rnacentral:lncRNA from 1 species
UUUACUAGAUACAAAUGAAGAAAAGUAGAGCAACUGACAAGAUGCGUCCAGCCGUCCAUAUAAACCAAUAAAAACUGUUAAUUUCUCCACAAACAGUCUUGGGGAUUGAAGUUAUUUUGAAUAUUAGUGAUACAAACAGACAGAAAAUUUAGGUGAAGGAAAAAAUACCCAAAUGGUAUUGGGGAAACAGAUACAAACAAUCUUGGGGGAAAACAAAAAAAAAUACCCAAAUGGUGAAGGAACCAAAGAUGUCUUAUGGAGUCUUAUCUGGAAGUCGUCGGAAUGGACUGGAGGUCUAUCCCUCACCACUGAUCGCCGGACAGGAAGUAUCGCCCUCGCCGGAUGGAAGUAUCGCUCUCGCCGGUCCAGACUCUCAGUCAAAACUCGUUGUUGGUCACGGAAUCAACUCGCCGCUUGCCCCUAGCCUCUCACUAGUUGGAAUCACCGGAGGUGGGGGUGGGAGAAAAACACGAUUUGGGUAGAAGAAAUAAAGGAUUUAACUUUUAAGGCUUGAUCUAUAUCUAUUUUUUAAUUUAGGAGUUUUGGUUUAUUUAUAAUUUUUGAAUAUUAUAUUUUACAAUUUACACGUUUUGUAAUUUUUUACUGGUUUUGAUUUAUUUGCAAUUUUUUAACUUAACACAAUUUUUUAGUAGUUUACUUUGCACACAUACACGAAUUUUGAUUCUCAACAAAAUUAUUCUUUGAUUUAAUAGUGGGAGAAAAAUACGAUAUUAAUUUUAUUAUUGUUAAACAAUAUUAAUUACACCAACGAUAUAAUUCCAAGUCAAAUGACUUAUUUAGUCAUUCAAUGGGGGUAUUGAAGUGUUUCAUUCACCUCAUGGUAUAUAUUUAUUCCAAAGAAAAUAUGCACUGGGUAUUUUAGAAGAAUCUGAUCUUUCUGGAGCAAAACCAUCUAAAAUUUCAAUGGAAAGACAUAUAAAUUUAAAAAAUGAUAAAUCCACAUUAAUUAAAAACCCAACAUUUUAUAGGAAGAUGGUCGGGAAACUGAUCUACCUUAAUAUAAUAAGGCAAGAUCUAAGUUUUACAGUAAAUUGGUUAAACCAGUUUAUGCAUGAACCAAGAGAGGUUCAUUUUAAAGUCCUUUUUAAACUAAUAAGGUUCAUUAAGAAGGCUCCUGGAAAAGGACUUCUAUAUAAUAAGAAUGAAAACAUGAUGAUUUAAAGGUAUUGUGAUGCUGAUUGGGCAGCAUGCCAAAUUAACAGGAAAUCCUUGACAGACUUUUGAUUUAUGCUAGGAGACUCAUUAAUUUCAUGGAAAACCAAGAAACAAAAUACAAUAGCCAGAUCAUCAUGUGUGAAAGAGUAUAGAGCCAUAGCUCAAACAACUUGUAAAAUUGUAUAGAUUCAUCAAUUAAUGGACGAAUUAAAAAUAAUAAAACCCACAAAUCUCUAUUUUGACAAUAGAUCAGUCAUACAUCUGACAAAUAAUCCAGUUUUUCAUGAAAGAACAAAACACAUAAAAGUAGUUGUCAUUUCGUAAGAGAAAUGAUAAAUCAAAAGAAAAUUUCAUUAAAGCAAAUUGGGACUAAGUUUCAACCUGUUGAUUUUCUAACAAAAACACUUGGUGAAAAAGAGAUCACCUCAUUCCAUUUCAAACUUGGAAUAUUGAAUAUACAUUUCAAGGCUUGAGGGGGAGUAAAGAAAUUAAAGAGCUAAACCUGUAAAUCACAUUUAUAAUCUGUCUUAACUCUAUAUAUAUGAUUUCAUGACUUAUGUGAGAUUAUGUGUUUAAGUUAACUAUGCAAGUAAAUAAUCCAAGACUGACAUAAGUUAUAACAGAUUAACUUGAGGUCAAUAGAGAAAAAGUUUGAAUAAAACGUAUGCGAAUGUUAUAACUAGAAAACUUGGGGUAUAGACCGUAAAAGUUUCAAUAAACAUAUGAAUGAGCCGAUCGGAUAAAAGGCCAGUACUGGGCUGAAUUAAUUAAUUAAAUAUGUAAUAAAUAAUUAGUUAAUUCAGUUAAUGUUAAUAAAUGAAUUAAUGUAAUAUAUAAUUAGUUAAUUCAGUUAGUGUUAAUGUAUUAUAAAACAAAGGUUGUAAUAUUUGAUUAAUCAAUGAAUUGAAUACACUGGUUAAAGUCUAAGCCUACUUCCAUCUAAACACAUAACCAACCCUAGGCAUCUGUUAGUACGAGGAACCCUAGAGUUUCCCCCAAUUCUUGUGUACAGAGCUCUCGUCCAAUUUCGGUAACCACUGAUUCCAAUUCUCCAGGAAAGCUACCCGCGCGCAGCUUUAAUACGUACGUGGGUGUGUGUUGGAAUUCAAUUAAAUAAGUAAUCAUAAUGUGGAUCAAUUUUUCUAACAUUGUAACCUAAUUGAUCUUCUCCCAAAUGAUUAUAAUUAAGAUCAGGAUCAUUCUUGGUAUUCUUCUCCACCAGAUGCAUAUUCAUGUUGAACGAUGAUGAAGGUUGAUAAGAAUGUUGACCACCACCGAGUUGUUGUUGCAUAUUCAUCGAAUGUUGAUGAUGACCCAUCUCAUUCAAAUUCAUUACAGACGUUUCGGCUUGACUACUGGCAUCCAAUUGGUAAUCUUGGCUGUUAAACCCGAAAAAGUCAGAAAAAUUCACUGAAUCUAUGUUGUACCUAGAUGUAUCCCUGAAUAAUACGAUAAAUAUAACAAGGCAUGAUCUAAGUUUUGCAGUAAACUGGUUAAGCCAGUUUAUGCAUGAACCAAGAGAGGUUCAUCUUAAAGUACUUUUAAACUAAUAAGGUUCAUUAAGAAUGUUUCUGGACAAGGACUUCUAUACAAUAAGAAUGGAAACGUGAUGAUUAAAAGGUAUUGUGAUGUUGAUUCAGUAGCCUGCCAAAUUAGCAGGAAAUCCUUAACAGGCUUUUGUAUUAUGCUAGGAGACUCAUUAAUUUCAUGAAAAACCAAGAAACAAAAUACAAUAGACAAAUCAUCAUGUGAGGAAGAGUAUAGAGCCAUAACUUAAACAACUUGUGAAAUUGUAUAGAUUCAUCAAUUAAUGGAUGAAUUAAAAAUAAAAAUAAUAAACCCCACAGAUCUCUAUUGUGACAAUAGAUCAGCCAUACAUCUGGCAAAUAAUCCAGUUUUUCAUGAAAAAACAAAGAACAUAGAAGUAAUCUGUCUUAACUCUGUAAAUAUGAUUUUCAGGACUUAUAUGAGAUUAUGUGUUUAAGUUAACUAUGCAAGUAAAUAACCCAAGACUGACAUAAGUUAUAACAGAUAAACUUGAGGUCAAUAGAGAAAAAGUUUCAAUAAAACGUAUGUGAAUGUUAUAACAAGAAAGCUUGGGGUAUAGAUCGCAAAACAUUCAAUAAAUAUAUGAAUGAGCCGAUCGAAUAAAAGGCCAGGCUAGCCAGCACUGGGCUGAAUUAAUUAGUUAAAUAUGUAAUAAAUAAUUAGUUAAUUCAGUUAGUGUUAAUAAUUGAAUUAAUGUAAUAUGUAAUUAGUUAAUUUAGUUAGUGUUAAUGUAUUAUAAAACAAAGGUUGUAAUCUUUGAUUAAUCAAUGAAUUGAAUACACUGCUUAAAGUCUAAACCUACUUCAUGCUAAACACCAAACGAACCCUAGACAUCUGUUAGUACGAGGAAUCUUAGAGUUCUUCCCAAUUCUUGUGUACAGAGCUCUCGUCCAAUUCAAGCCACCACUGAUUCUAAUCCUCCAGGAAAGCUACCCGCGCACAGCUUUAAAACAUAUGUGGGUGCGUGUUUGAAUUUAAUUAAAUAAAUAAUCAUAAUGCGAAUCAAUUUGUCUAACAUCUUAACCUGAUUGAUCUUUUCCCAAAUGAUUAUAAUUAAGAUCAGGAUCAUUCUUGUCACUCUUCUCCACCUACUGCGUAUUCAUGUUGAACGAUGAUGAAGGUUGCUAAGAAUGUUGACCACCACCGAGUUGCUGCUGCAUAUUCAUCGAAUGCUGAUGAUGACCCAUCUCAUUCAAAUUCAUUACAGCCGUUUCGACUUGGCUACUGCCAUCCAAUUGGUAAUCUUGGGUGUUAAUCCCGAAAAAAUCAGAAAAAUUCACUAGAUCUAUGUUGUACCUAGACGUAUCCCUGAAUAAUGAAUCAAUCAAUCAAUCAUAGAGUUAUCAAAAUACCCAAUUGAAAUCAAACUAUAUUAUGUAUGUUAAUUACUUGUGAUCGAGAGGAGUGUUAUUUUUGAUAGGACGAGGAGUGUUAUUUUGCAUAGGACGAGGAGUGUUAUUUUGCAUAGGACGAGGAGUGUUAUUUUGCAUAGGACGAGGAACAUGUGUAUCGUUCUGAGCAGCGAGAGGAAAAUUAUGAUUAGUAACAUUUGGUAACAGCAUGGUAUGUUCAACAUUGAGCAUGGUGUGUUGAGCGUUGUUCUGAAUCCAUGGCAUUGGUGGUUGGGCCGCCAUAUGCAUAGAUUGCAUUCCACCUUGAAACAGAUUGGAUGAACUUCCCUCCAUGUUCGCUGGAUGUAUGUUGUACCUAGAUAUAUCCCUGAAAAAUCAGUCAAUCAAUCAUAUAGUUAUCAAAAUACCCAAUUGAAAUCGAACUAUAUUAUGUAAGUUAAUUACUUGUGAUCGAGAGGAGUCUUAUUUUGCAUAGGACGAGGAACAUGUAUAUCGUUCUGAGCAGCCAGAGGAAAAUUAUGAUUAGUAACAUGUGGUAGCUGCAUGUUAUGUUGAACAUUGAGUAUGGUGUAUUGAGCGUUAUUCUGAAUCCAUGGCAUCGGUGGUUGGGCCGCCGACAUAUGCAUAGAUUGCAUUCCACCUUGAAACUGAUUGGAUGAACUUCCUUCCAUGUUCGCUGGAUCUAUGCUGUACUUAUAUGUAUCUCUGAAUAAUCAAUCAAUCAAUCAUAAAGUUAUCAAAAUACCCAAUUGAAAUCGAACUAUAUUAUGUAAGUUAAUUACUUGUGAUCGAGAGGAGUGCUAUUUUGCAUAGGACGAGGAACAUGUGUAUCGUUCUGAGCAGCGAGAUAAACAUUAUGACUAGUAACAUUUGGUAGCUUGUUGGUGUGUUGAGCGUUGUUCUGAAUCCAUGGCAUAGGUGGUUGGGCCGCCAUAAGAAUAGAUUGCAUUCCACCUUGAAACUGAUUGGAUGAACUUCCCUCCAUGUUCGCAAAGUUGAUUCGAUCACACAUUUCCUGCAAAUGGAUCGAUGAUCAGAUUUAAGUAGGAUGAUACAUAAGGUUAGGAGUGCAAAUUAAUUAACCUUCUGCGCAUCAAGAUCAUUCAAAGCAUGUCUGAGAUAAUCUUCAAUUCUAGUAAUAUGUUCUAGUUUAUCGACACUUUCCGGUUUAACCCAAAAACUGUGUUACAUCAAUCCAAUCGUAUUUAUUAAUACAUGAAAUAAAUUCAUCAAACCAAAUGAUUAGGGAAAGGAAUAUGCCUGAGUCGAUUCUGAUAUUCCAAUAAUUUUCUUUGUAACAUUCUCAUGUGAUUUCCCAUAUUUUCGAUCGAAUUUGUGCUGCAGAAAAAUCACAAUAUCAUAUUUAAAAUGCAAAACUACAUCCUUAAUUUCUAACUAAACAUACCUUGAUCCUACAAAGUCCUGAAUGUUGACAUCGUGAUCCAAUUUUUUGAACGUUUUCUUGAGCACCUUCAUCAUAGUUUGGUAUAUCUAGGGUUAAUUAGAAUCAAUUUUACGUAAUAACAUGACAUUUUUAUUAAGACUCGAUCGAGACUUACUUCAAGACUUUCUAGCUUUCUGUUUCAUUCACAUAUGCAUGCAGCAGAUUCAAUAUUAGAUCAGGAAAAAAAGGGUUCUCUAAUUUAUAUUAAUAACCAGGAAUUCGAUGAUCAAAUGGGAUAAAAAUACAACCUCUUGGCUCUUUCUUGCGGUGUUUGCUGAGAAAACUUGUGGAGAACUUGGUCCAUAGUGCUGAUCGAUCAACGGAUUUUAAGACGUAGAAUAUUUGUUAUGAUACAUGUUGAAAUAUUUAUAUAUAUAUAUCAUACGGUGUUAAUUAGUAUAUAUAAAAGAAUUUCAAACCUAUUUUCUCCAAGACACAAUAUGGCUUUUCCGGCCGGCGGGAACAUGAGAAGUGCAAGAUCAAUGUCACAUAGAAUUGAAAGUUCCGUUGCCUUUUUGACGAUUCCAGCUCUUCGUUUUGAAAAAGUAACCUGUCGACCACCUGCAUUCUCCAAUCUCUUGAUCUUCAAUUUCGCCCUUCCCAUACCUAAAGAUUAAAGAUUGAACAAGAAGUUUGAAGAGAUCGAUGCAAGAACCAAGAAUGCCAAUAUCUGAUGACUAAAGAUUGAAAAAUGGAAUGAAGGGGGAAUAUUAUAUAUAUUGUGUAUAUACAUAUAAUCUUUUCAUAUUUAACUUUUUAGCUAUUUAAAUUUAGGGUAGGAAGAUUUUACACAAGCCACCAUUUUCCGACUUUUCGAUGGAGGAAAUUAAAUGGGAAGAAACAAAGAUAUUAAUUUUAUUAUUGUUACACAUUAAUUUUAUAAUUCAAUGUCAAAUGACUUAUUUAGUCAUUCAAUUGGGGUAUUUAAGUAUCUCAUUCAUUGCAUGACAUAUAUUUAUCCCAAAGAAAAUAUACACUGGGUAUUCUAGAAGAAUCUGGUCUUUCUGGUGCAAAACCAUCUAAAAUUCCAAUAGAAAAACAUAUCGAUUUAAAAAAUGAUAAAUACACAUUAAUAAAAAAUCCAUCCAUCUAUAGGAAGAUGGUUGGGAAACUGAUCUACCUUAAUAAAAUAAGGCCAGAUCUAAAUUUUGCAGUAAACUGGUUAAGCUAGUUUAUGCAUGAACCAAGAAAGGUGCAUCUUAAAGUCCUUUUUUAAACUGAUAAGGUACAUUAAGAAUUCUCCUGACAAGGACUUCGAUAUAAUAAGAAUGGAAAUAUGAUGAUUAAAUAGUAUUGUGAUGCUGAUUCGGCAGGAAGUCCUUGACAGACUUUUGUAUUAUGCUAGGAGACUCAUUAAUUUCAUGGAAAACCAAGAAAUAAAAUACAAUAGCCAAAUCAUCAUGUGAGGAAGAGUAUAGAGUCAUUGCUCAAACAACUUGUGAAAUUGUAUGGAUUCAUCAAUUAAUAGAUGAAUUAUAAAUAAAAAUAAUAAAACCCACAGAUCUCUACCGUGACAAUAGAUCAGCCAUACAUCUGACAAAUAAUCCAGUUUUUCAUGAAAGAACAAAGCACAUAGAAGUACACUACAAAAAAACAGCUUAUUUUUGGCGGCUCACUACUAGGGGCUUAGCUGUUGGCAGGCUACCCUAGUUUGCCGGUUAAUUUCCCUCGUAAGUAAGAGAAAUAAACUGGCGGCUAGGACGCCAGUACCUAUUUCUAUUUUAAGUUACUAGCGGCCUGGCCGCUAGAACCAAUUUCCUCAACGGUCGGGAAAAAUAUUCUGACGGCCUGGCCACCAACAUCCCUUAUUCUCUCAACGGUCGGGAAGAAUUUGCUGGCGGCCUGACCGCCAACUAAUUUUCCCGUUUGUUUUUUUUCAUUUUCUGCCAGCCUGGCCAUCAGAAUUUUUGAAAACUCUAAAAAAUUUCCACUUGCGCCGCCAUGGUUCUACCGUACAAUAUUUCAACUUAAAGGAGUCCUGGCGUUCUGACCGCCAACAUAUGUUAUAUAUAUAUAUAUAUAUAUUCCUAAACUCAUUUCCAAACUUUCUCUCCACUCCUCCCCACUCCUUCUCCGACUAUUCCAGCCGUGGAUCCUCCCCGCCGGUCAUCUUUUCAUGGUAAACACCUGUUAUUUUCAUAUUCUUCAUCUUUUAUUUUUGUUUUUGUUAUUUUUCUUUACCUUCUUCUUCAUUUUUAUUAUUAUCUAUUUCAUUUCUUCUUCUUUAUUUCUUAGUCAUUUGUUCAUUUUUAUCUUGGGGAAUUAUAUGUAUAUGAUGUUUUAUGUAUUUGUGGGUUUGAUUUGGGAAUUUGAUGAUGUUAUGUAUAUGAUGUUUAAGUUUUAGGGUUUUAUUUUUUGUAUUUGGGUCAAAAUAUUAGGGUUUUGAUUUUAUUAUUUAUGGUUUUUAAUUUUUUGUUUUAUAUAUAAUGUUUUUUGUUUUAUGUACUGUUUUUAUUUUUUGUUCAAAUUUUUUGUUUUUUGUUUUUUGUUUUAUUUUAUUUUUAUUUUAGUGUUUUGUUCAAAUUAGUUAGGUUUUGAUGAAGGUUUAUUUUACUGUUUUAUUUAAGGUUUUGAUUUUUAUUGUUCUUAUUAUUUACUGUUUAGGGUUUAGCAUUUAUAAUUUUUAUAUUUUUACUAUUUUUAAUUAGGUUGAUAUGUCAUUAUUUUAGUAUUUUAUUUUACUGUUUUAUGUAAGGUGUUGAUUUUGAUUUUUAUUGUUCAAAUAAUUUUCUGUUCAAAUUGUUCAAUAAAAGUCACUAUGUCGAUUUUGCCGGAGUUGAACUAUAUAUUGUAGGUCUAUCGCUAUGGCUAGAACUAGAUCCAUUUUGUCGCUAUGGCCUUAAUGGAUCGAGAUUCAUUUUGUCGCUAUGGCCUUAAUGAUUCUAUCUCAUCUUGUCGCCAUGGCCUUGAUGAGGAUCAAAAGUCACUCUGUCGUUAUGGCCUUGAUGAGGAUCAAAAGUCACUCUGUCGUUAUGGCCGAAGUUAGACUACAAAAUUCUGUCGCUUUGGUCAGAAUCAGAUUCAUUUUGUCACUUUGGCCUUAAUGGAUCCUGGAUCAUUUUAUCUUUAUGGCCUUAAUGAUCCACUUAACCUUGCUAGGGGGAAUACUUGCGAUACAUGCCUGAUCACAUGAUGUCUUUAGGGGGGAGUACUGCUGAUACAUGACUGAUUACGCCAGUCACUCUCAUAACGCUCCUCAACAGAGACUAGGGUUCCGUUCGCUUUAUAUCUGACCCCCGAAAUGCUCCCACGGUUGCGGAACAAAGGUCGUCAUCAAGUCACCAGUUCUAACUAGUGAGUCGCCGAUUCGGGUUGCCAAAUCGCCGAUUGUAGUGGCAGAUCGCCGAGUUGAGGCCGAGAUAACCAGCACUGACAGGUUGCAGAUCUCGCCCCUCUGAACUCGCCGAUCCUGCCUCUGAAUAGUCGAUUCCCCCCUGAAUUGCUGAUCUCACGACAAUUACUCGUCACCAUCCCGCGCCAUUAAUGUCAUGCCAUUAUGGCCGGUCGCGAUCACCGCCGCGGAGUGCGACCGGAUGGCCCUAUAAAAGGGGUUCUCCGGGAUCAUUCCAAAGCAUCAGUUCCAUCCCAAUCACGGCAUAACACGGAGAGAAUCGCCAAUUCCACACCUAAUUGUCGAGUCCCUCCCAGAAGAUUUGACGUAGAGCGCGCGUCGUGGACUGCAGAGCCUCCGACAUCACCUCGCACCACCGCGAGCCCUUAUAGCAUUUCUCGUGCUUCAUCAACGUUUCUUUAACUUUCAUAUCUUAAUUAUAUCAAAACAAUGAGUUAUUUAUACUUUGAUCCAUAUAUUGAUACUUUAUUAUGAGAAUGUUCUAUUUAGGCUCCAAUAGGGACUUAGUCUUCCUUACACUUUAUGACUUAGGUCAAAAGAUCACUAUCAUCGUAAAUCAUUUUGCCUUAUCGUGACCUACAGUAAUGUAUCCACAUGAAUCUAUCAUCACUUAAAUAACUUAAGACUUAUCAUUGUUAAUAUGUGUAGAUCAUUUACUUGAUAAGAUAACAAAAGAAAUUGCUAACAUUUUCCACCUGCCUUUGUAGUUUUUUUUAUUUUUCGUAAGAGGUGUGAUCGUUUCCCUAGGGAAUGGUGACUAAUCGUAUAUUAUCGUUAUAGUAACAACUGUUUUCCCUCCUUUUACACUUCACCCCUAGAGGUAUUUAUACAAUUUCCCACCGGACUCUGGACCUUGGGUUCUCGGACUAAGACCCGACCUAAAGGACCCGAUAUGCUUGGGACGCAACCCUUGGAAAGCUAACCGUCUGGGCUGACGGAUCCGUCCGGUCGGACUGGCCCAGUCGCGUGAAUACCCUUGGGGCGGCCUGGAUCUUCCUCCUUUGUUCACUUCACUGGGCCUUGCUUCUGGACUCUUGCGUGGGCCUGGGCUGAUGGAUUAUGCGUACAAUCAAGGUGAUCCUCUUUUUCUUCUUCUAACUCCCGUAUUCGGUCCCAAAUAUAUCCCCUUGUGACACUUGUUGCUACAUGUAUCCUUACCUUGACACUUGGUCUUUUACAUGUCGCGACAUCAUUGGGUGGUGGUUGAUAUAACAAGGCACUAAUAAAAAAGUUUGAGUCGGGCUUGAAUUUUAUAUUCAUCUCUGUCUUAAAUUUCUAAAUAACCCUAUUAGGUUUAAAAAAGGAAAGAUAUAAAUAAGUAAAAGGAACCAUUGGAAAUUCAGAAUAAUGUGAUUGGUGGAAUAAAAUGACCUUAAAUACUUGUGGUGGUGUGUGUCCAGCGGAUGAGGACCAAGGGUAUAAAUUAAAAUUGAACCUAGAGAAAAUAAAAUCUUUCACAACUCUUUUUUCCCUCGAUUUUCUCUUCUCUUCUAUUCAUUCCCCUUUCCUUCUCUCCGAUCUUCAAAACUCUACAUUUACCUCUCGUCAUUGGUACUUUCGUCGGAUCUUCUCCGUCUCCAACACUUCACGUUUGUAAUCCCUUCAUGCCGAACCUCAAUGAAUCGUCAUUGCCCUCCACUCCUCAUAAAUUAUCUUCUCAAAUCCUCUCCUCGUCACUCGACUUAGUUCCUCCAUCUCUGUCUCCAAGCACGACUCCAUCUAUACCUGCAAUUCUGUUGCGAGCUCCUAAGUGGAGACAUUUCCGUCGCGGAAUGAUCAUUACUAAAGAGGAGGAUGUCAAUAUCGCAAUUUCUUCGACUGCUACUACCACCAUAUCUUCUACAUUAGAGGUUAGUACAUUUAAAUAUGUAUUUUUUUCCGAUCGUAUCUGGAUAUAGCGGUUUUAUCGAUCUAUGUCGAAUUCUUGAUUUCAAGUAUGUUAUUUUUGUUAGAUCAGAAAUAUCUCUAUUGAAUAGAAUCUCGUCCUGCGUUUUUAUUUGUUUGUUUUUUUGUUAUGAUAUGGUAUUGUUCGUUCGAUGAUUCAACGAUUCAUUGUUCUAGAUUGUUUUUUUGGUUGUUUUCUUAAUUAUACUUAUGUUCUUAUUUUCUUUAUUCUGGUUUAUGUGCUUAGUUUUACACAUCGGAGUCCUUUGAGUUUUUUUUUCAUUUAUCACCAACAAGAAUACAAACACCGGGAAUUGGAUUUUUUUUAAUUAUUUUGAAUAUUUAUUCUCCUACGGGUGAAACAAAUUUAUCAGAUUCAAAAUAACCAUUUUCAAAAUGGUUAUGUGAUGCCUCCUCGUGGACACAGCGAAGAGGUUAGCAACUAUGUAUGUCCACCUGCCAAGCGUCGAAAAACAAAAUUUAAAAAGGAAAAAGGUUGUCCACCUAUCACCCCCAGCAUUUGUUAAAUUCAAUGUGUCAAUAUUUUACAUGUUUCUAAUUUUUGAAUAAAAUGUAUUUCAUUGAAUGUUUUGCAGGUGUUAAAACUACGUUACCUGACGGUUCUAUACCUCCUAUUACUUCUCGUUACGACAACUCUCUGGGUAAGAUUUUGUCUCAAAAUACACUAACAUUGCUUUACCGUUUUUAUAUACAUCGAUCUAUAAUUUAAAUAUGAUCGAUAUUCAUUAGAAUUUUUUAUUAUGGAUUAUCUCUUUUUUUCCCAGGAUUAUUGACCAAAAAAUUUAUCGACUUACUUAGAGAAUCCAAAGAUGGCACUCUUGACCUGAAUAAUGCGGCAGAACAUUUGGCUGUAUAAUUUAGAAUUUUUAUCUUCAUUUAACUUAUAGCACCGGAAUGCAUUUAUUUUUGUAGAAUUGAACCGUUUCUUGUAUAAUUGUCAGGUUCAGAAAAGGAGGAUAUAUGAUAUAACAAACGUUCUUCAAGGAGUUGGUAUGAUUGAAAAGAACAUGAAAAACAAGAUAAAAUUGAGGUAAUAACCACAAUUUUUUUCAAUUUGUAUACCAUUGAUUAAAAUAUGCGAAGCAACAAUUUUCAACGAUAUGUUUCUGUCGUCAUAGUGGAUUUGAAGCGAUAGUAAUGCCAAAGGUGCUACAGGAAUAUAUGACUUCUCUGCAAGUAAACAUUUUCUAUUAUAUUGCUUCUUAUUUGUUAUGUUUAUGAUUUUCUAUUUUUCUGAACCUCUUUAAAAAAAAUCGAUUGAUUUUAAAUGCAUGAGAAUAAGAAACCCUAAUACAUUAUCUUUUUUCUUUACAUAUAUAUAUAUAUACACAAAUGAAUAAAAUAGGUGAUCUUUUCUGAUCUAAAUAUUUAACAAUCCUCAAUUUCAUAUUGUUCCUCUAAACUAAAAGCAUUAGUUGUAUGACUGAUAGCAAAAUCUUUUUUGAUAACCAUUAAAUUUAAUUAUGGUUUUGGGGUAUGUACUGAAUAAAAUGGAAACCUAUGACACAUGUGGAGAAUAAGUGCUUAUUGAGCAAUUUUUUGUGUUAGAGUUUGAUUUGUUGGAGAAUGCUCUCCACCACCUGCAACACCCUAUUUAAUUUCUUUCUUUUUGCUCUCCAACAGAUGAAUAGUGAAACCCUUCACUUAAUCUGUCCCUUAUCUAGUGUACAUGUUGCAGGUGGUGGAGAGCAUUCGUGUUGAUUCAGUCAUUAAAAAUUUCAAAUAAAAUUAAAUACAAUCAGAAAUUUAACAACUAUCCAAAUGAUUUAAAAUCCAUGGUAUCUCCUUCAUAGUUCUUCUACCCUAAUAUAGUGUGGUUAUGUGCAUCCUCGCUAUAUUUGGAUGAAAUCGGUAAAUUGCAACUUCAUUUCACCUUUCAGUCCGCAAUUUUCAUUGUUCUAUGUAUCCUCUGUCAAAUACAUACCUCUUGAGUCUUCUUUAUAUCAUAUUAUUUAGUAUCCAGCAAAUGGGAUUUACAAUUUUACCUUUAUAUGUAAAAUUCAUAAUCUUGAUAUAUUGCUAGCUAGCUUGAUUCAGCUUCAAGCAUGAAUUAUAGUAAAGUAUUAUUGUUUUUAACCCUUUCUUAUUACCAGGCAGAAAAUGAAAGUCUCUCUGCAGAAGAAUGUAGACUAGACGAAAUGAUAAGGUACAUGGUACAUUUUUUUCUUCUAAAAAAAUCAUUUGCAAAAUCUUUUUAAUGAACUAACCACUUUGUUGUUUUGUAGAAAAAAAGAAGAAGAAUUAAAUAUCUUAAGAGAAGAUGUCAAUACUCAAAAGUAUUUUCAAAAUUCUUCAUGCAUUGUUGUUGCUAUCUCAUUUUUAUGACAUGCACGGUUACUAAUAACUUCAUAAAAAAUAUGUUUUCAGAUUGCAGUUCAUCUCUUCUGAAGAAAUAUGUAACCUUCCUUGCUUCAAGGUAUUUGGAUAUCAUCCAUCCCUGAUAUUUCAUACUUGUUGCUUUGGUUGAGAUCAAAUAUUUUUUUUAUUUUUUUCUUAAAUUUGUACUCGAUAACAGAAUGACACACUCCUUGCAAUAAAUGCUCCUCACGGUACAAGUGUAGAAGUUCCUGAUCCAGUUGAGGUACACUGAUUUUAAAACAGAAGAAAAAUACCUGUUGUUGUUAAAAUUAUUAUCACAUUGCUUAUGAUAUAUUAUAUAUUUUCACAGGAUAAGUGUGAGAUGUCAGUGAGAAGUUCUAUGGGUCCUAUUGAUUGUUUUAUACUCAGGUACCACCAGACUCUCCAUUACUUGAACAUAUCAUGAUACUGGCUAUUGUAGGGGAUUUUUUCGGAAAUAAUAUAAUAUUGGUUUGUUUAUAGUAGCAAAAAUGCACCGAAAGCCAUUAUCUGUGACCUAAAUCAGUAUCCACCAGUAAACGAUGUACCAGUUGAAAAUGGCACUCAUUUCGCCGAGGCAGAAUAAUCAUCCAGUAAUUGUAAUAAGACAAAUCUGCUAUAUAGUUAGUAACUGUAAUAAGAAGUUGUGUUAGUAAAUAAUAUAGUUAGUGACUAAACAUGUGCUAUAUAACUCAAUUGUAUUUGUGAGUUCAUUAAUCAAGUAUUUGGGUAUUUUCUUGUGAAUCAAUUGUGUUAAGUUUCUCAGAGAUGGUGUCAUAUUUUCUUUUCGCUUAGCAUAAUUUUUUUUCCCCAAAUCAUUUGCGCCCAUCAUUCCGCGAUUCGUCAUUUCGCGAUCGCCAUAUUCACGUCCUAGCUCAUAUCCGCACUUGUGAGGAAAUAUUGUGAUCGAUUUGAUUUUGUGCACAUCGGUCCAUAUUCGUGAUUUGAUUUUCACUCUCGUUCGCGAUUCCGAUUUGAUUGUCUGUACUCGUUUCAUUCAUUCACGUAUGCAGAUUGCGUGUAGAGAUCGUUCGUUGCAGAUCGUUCCGCGAUAUCAUUUUGGAUCUGAUUUCGCGGAUUAUGUAUUGCUGCCGAUUUUAUAGGUAUAUUUUAUUAUCGAUUUCAUUUUAGGGAAAAAAAUCGUUGUGAUCUGCAUCCCGGAUUAUCUUUGUUCGUUUACGUGUUGCUGAUUUUAUUUUAGAGGUAUAUCUUAUUAUAAAUUUGUUAUAUUUGUUGUUAUAUCAUUUUAAAUAUAUAUUUUAUUACCAAUUUCAUUUCAUUCUAUAUCGUUGAAAUUAUUGCUGCCGAUUAUUGCGAUUUACGAUCUUGCAAAAAAAAAUUUUUGCAUCUGCAUUGGUGUUGUAAUUUUGCUUCGCGAUUCUAGAUUUCGCAUUAUGCGAUUGGAUUUAUCACAAUUUUGAAAUCUGCAUUCUCUGAAUUUCUUAUUUUUGUAUUCGUUUGGUUAGUUGUAUCAUUUUAUUUAUUUAUUUUUAUUUUCUUUUUCGUGUUUAUAUUUUAGUUACUUACAAAGUCUUCUCUAUUGCAACUAUGGCUCAUGCGACCACAACAUCUGCUGGAUCUGCUGCAUCCGCUGCAACUGCAAGCAACAGAGAGUCGAUUCUUCCCGACUCAUUGCUAAAAUAUUAAGUUACACAUCACAUUCGCACACCACUGGAAGGUUUUAAACAAAUCAAAGACAUAGACUAUGGGCUAAUCUAUAGUUUAGUAGUUAGAUCUUCAACAGUGAGAAUCUUACUAUAUAUCUCUUGCUGUAAAUAGAAAUUACAAAUUAAGGUAAAUAGAUGUCAAAAAUGCUUUUCUACAAGGUGAAUUGCUCGAAACAGUCCAUAUAUCACAACCACCUGGAUACACUACAUCUAGGUCACCAGACCAUGUUUGCAAACUAAAUAAGGUCAUUUAUGGACUUAAAUAAGCCCCCAAAUUAUGGUUCACCAGGUUAAGACAUUUCUUAAUUCUGAAUAAGUUUUCUAACAGUCUUUGCUGACUCAUCAUUAUUCACUUAUCAUAAGGAAAAUAUUUUGAUAUGGUUGGUGGUUUAUGUAGAUAACAUUAUAAUUACAGGUAAUAAUGCCAAUGAGAUUGAGAAUUUUAUAAAAAUUUCAUGUGAGGAAUUUAAAUAUAGAGACUUGGGCAUUCUAAAAUAUUUUCUAGGGAUGGAAAUUAAAUAUAAUCAUGAUGGCAGUAUUGAUAUGAAUCAAUCGAGGUAUGCUUUAAAAAUCUUGUCAAAAUACAAUAUAUUGCAAUGCAAGCCUUGAAACUCACCAGUAACACCAAAUUCAAAACUUAGGAAAUAGAGUGACCUUUUAACAGACAUCACAAACUAUAGAGCUCUAGUAGGCUCUUUGCAAUACUUGUCACAAAUAAGACCAGAUCUAACCUAUGCCAUAAAUCAAGUGGCUAAGUUUAUACAUGAACUAAGAACAGAACACCUAAUAGAUGCUAAGAUCUUAAGAUACAUAAAGGAAACCCUAAGUAAUGGUUUACAUUUUAGAAGAACAUCACAACAAAAUAAGAUAAUAGGAUACUGCGAUGCUGAUUUUGUUGGAGACUUAGACUUUAGAAAAUCAACAACCGUUUUUUAUGUUUUUAUUAAAGGAAACCUGGUAACCUAGGUUUCAAAGAAACAAGAAGAUAUUGUUUCUCGAUCAAGUGUUGAAGCUGAAUACAGAACUUUGGAAGCUCUGGCAGCAGAAAUUAGAUGGAUAAGUUUCAUAUGGAAAGAUCUUAAUUAUUCAAUUUAUAAUGUACCACAACUUUAUUGUGAUAAUAAUAUAAUAUAUCUUUUAUAUUUAUGGCUGAAAAUCCGGUAAUUAAACAAAAAUCUAAACACAUAGAAACUGAUAUUCAUUUUAUUCGAGAAUUAAUAACCAAAGGACAUAUAAAAGUAGAUCAUGUAUGUUCAUCUCAACAAUUGGCGGAUCUUUUUACUAAAGACGUUUCAUAUAAUAUUUUUAAGAAUCUGAUGAUACCCCUGGUCCAUCAGACCAGCAGGCCAACCCCGAACCAAGACCUGCAGGCCCACUUGGCUUAACAGGCCGUGCAGAAGAGAAGGUCGGAUCAGACCUAGAAGAGAAGAUCCAGUUUAGUAGAAAAGUAUAUAAAUACCCUUAGGGGUUGAACGUAAUAGGGGAGAACAUUGACUUGAUAAACUCACAUUCAACAGGGAAGCAUUGUUACAAGAUAUACGCAACAGGGUAGAUCGAGAGGACGGCGAGGAAGUCGAUAGAGAUGUACCUGAAACGUCGACGGAUACUGGCAAGAUGCAGACGACGUGCCGGAAGAUGACGGUGUGGCUGAUACUUCAAGUGACGUAGAAAUGGAAAGAAGACCUAAAUCAGAUGUGGAAGUAUUUAAUAAAGAGCAGGGAACAGUUAAACGGGCCAGGCGGGCUCCCAUUCAUUUUAAAGAUUUUAAAAUGAAUUAAUUAGACUUAUUUCAGUAUUCAGACUAUUUAUAAACAUUGUAAACCUAAUUUUAGGGAUUAUCUCUUAAUAAAAUUAUCGGCAUUUGUGCCUCCAAACAAGAGGGCACGGUCCCUCUUGGUAAUUACGAUUUCCAUUGCUAUUUUUAGUGCUUUUGGCUUGGAUAUUUUGGUGUUUGCAGAUCAAGGGCUGAUUCACCAUCUAUCAAUGUUGUAAUAGAGAAAGAUUUUCUGGUAUUCGUUUGAUACUAAACAAUCAGAAUCUCUGCAGGUCUUUGAAAUUCAGAUGUCAUCGGCCAAGUAAAGGUUUAUAAAAAAAUUCAGAACACUAACUUAGCAAAUUUUUUUGGGGUUGUUUACAGAUUAACUAGAAAGAACAAACCAGAAGAAAGAAAAUAAUAAAGAUUUCUGAAUAAAUUAUAUUCUAGAAUACAGAUUUCACAUAAAAGUAUUAUAUGAACAUAUAAUUUAAAGUCUUUAAUAUAUACAUUCAAAUUGCAAUAUUACAUGAGUACAUAAGUGGACAGAUAAACGGAGUAAAGGUUUUUUUCCCAGAAUUUUAAAGAUGCAAUGCACACUUGGUUUUUUAAUCCAUAUAUUGUUAUUUUACACUUCAACAUUAUCUCAUUACAGAUUGCAAAUUUUCGAGGGGGGUGUAAGAAGACAAAUCUGCUAUAUAGUUAGUAACUGCAAUAAGGAGUUGUGUAAGUAAAUAAUAUAGUUAGUUAGUGACAAAACAUAUGCUAUAUAAUCAAUAAUAUUUGUUAGUUAUUUAAUCAAGUGUGUUAAGUUUCUCUGAAAGUAAUGCUUGCCAAGAUUCUACAGAUUUGUAGACUCCUGUCACCUAAAUUUCUCCACAAAUAGUCUUGGGUAUUAAAGUUAUUUUGAAUCUUGGGGAUACAAAUAGAUAGAAAAUUUAGGUGAAGAAAAAAUACCCAAAUGGUAUUGGGAAAACAGAUACAAACAAUCUUUGUAAAAACAGAAAAAAUACCCAAAUGGUAAAGGAACCAAAGAUGGAUUAUGGAAUCUGACCUUGAAGUUGUCGGAAUGGACUGGAGGUCUAUCCCUCACCACACUGUUCGCUGGACAGGAAGUAUCGCCUUCGCCGAAUGGAAGUAUCGCUCUCGUAGGAUCUCGGUAUCGCUGGUCCAGACUCUCACUCAAAACUCGUUGUUGGUCACGGAAUCAACUUGCCGCUU